CUCUUUCUAGCUGUGGUGAUUUAUUUGCAUCUCCUUGCCAAGUUUUAAAAUUAGUCUAUAAUGGGAAUUGUCUAUUGAAACACGUAACCAUUUGAUUCCAGGUAAGGAAUGUGACAGAUUUAAAAAUCUCUCAUGAUUAUAAAUAUUCUGGCUUCAAAAUCGAUUCCCUGAAUCCAAAAUGUUGCUCUAUCCAGUCAUCGUUUUUUGAGAUCAGUGUAUUGUUCAUCUCUUCUACAGCUAGAAUAUGGCUUUCCCUUGACCUACAAUUGGAAGGUACAAGCAUUUCAACCGAGUAAAAAGACAAUAGUCGAGAGAAAGACGCUGGUGCCGACAUUGUUCACAACAUUCAAAGUCCCUGGCGCGUAAGUAUUACGUAUAAGCCCCAAAAAACGUAUAAGCCCCCCCCCCAAAAAAAAAAAAUGUGGGUUUCUGGUUUCCCAACCCUACCUAGCUUUUGGACGCC